rnacentral:misc_RNA from 1 species
GAUGAAGAACGCAGCGAAAUGCGAUACGUAAUGUGAAUUGCAGAAUUCAGUGAAUCAUCGAAUCUUUGAACGCACAUUGCGCCCUUUGGCAUUCCGAAGGGCAUGCCUGUUCGAGCGUCAUUUAUCAACCCUCAAGCCCGGCUUGGGUUGGGUCCCGCCGUGGGCGACCACGGCGGACCCGAAAGGUAAUGGCGGUGCCCGUGGGGCCCUGGACGCAGCGAGCUUCUCGGCACGCGUCCCGGCGGUCCCCGGCGCCGUCUCCACCAAUCCACCACGCAGAUUGACCUCGGAUCAGGUAGGGAUACCCGCUGAACUUAAGCAUAUCAAUAAGCGGAGGA